rnacentral:rRNA from 1 species
GAUGAACGCUAGCUACAGGCUUAACACAUGCAAGUCGAGGGGUAACGAGAGGGAAGCUUGCUUUCCUUGUCGACGACCGGCGCACGGGUGAGUAACGCGUAUCCAACCUGCCCCCAACUAGGGAAUAACCUUGCGAAAGUAAGACUAAUACCCUAUAAUUUCCUCAGAUGUCAUCUGACGAGGAAUAAAGAUUUAUCGGUUGUGGAUGGGGAUGCGUCUGAUUAGCUUGUUGGCGGGGUAACGGCCCACCAAGGCAACGAUCAGUAGGGGUUCUGAGAGGAAGGUCCCCCACAUUGGAACUGAGACACGGUCCAAACUCCUACGGGAGGCAGCAGUGAGGAAUAUUGGUCAAUGGGCGGAAGCCUGAACCAGCCAAGUAGCGCGCAGGAUGACGGCCCUAUGGGUUGUAAACUGCUUUUAUACAGGAAUAAAGUUAGCCACGUGUGGUUAUUUGUAGGUACUGUAUGAAUAAGGACCGGCUAAUUCCGUGCCAGCCGCCGCCGUAA